rnacentral:rRNA from 1 species
GAUGAACGCUGGCGGCGUGCCUAAUACAUGCAAGUCGAGCGAACAGACGAGGAGCUUGCUCCUCUAACGUUAGCGGCGGACGGGUGAGUAACACGUGGAUAACCUACCUAUAAGACUGGGAUAACUUCGGGAAACCGGAGCUAAUACCGGAUAAUAUAUUGAACCGCAUGGUUCAAUAGUGAAAGACGGUUUUGCUGUCACUUAUAGAUGGAUCCGCGCUGCAUUAGCUAGUUGGUAAGGUAACAGCUUACCAAGGCAACGAUGCGUAGCCGACCUGAGAGGGUGAUCGGCCACACUGGAACUGAGACACGGUCCAGACUCCUACGGGAGGCAGCAGUAGGGAAUCUUCCGCAAAGGGCGAAAGCCUGACGGAGCAACACCGCGUGAGUGAUGAAGGUCUUCGGAUCGUAAAACUCUGUUAUUAGGGAAGAACAAAUGUGUAAGUAACUAUGCACGUCUUGACGGUACCUAAUCAGAAAGCCACGGCUAACUACGUG